rnacentral:tRNA from 2 species
GGGGUCGUCGUAUAACGGCUAGUAUGCAUCCAUGGCAUGGAUGAGAUGGGAGUUCGAUUCUCCCCGACUCCACCA